AGUCAGGCGAAUCGAAAAUUUUAUAAAUAUCUUGAGAUACUUUUCAGAAGUCAUACGCGAAUUUAUCAUUGUCAUGAUACCAUUAAUUGUUGUGUGUGAACCUAUAGAGACAAAAUCAUUUCAAACACGGUCGCAGGCAAAAUAAGUAAAUUAUAAUAAAUUAUAAAUAAAUUAAUUAUUAGUAUCUUUUACGUACUAUCUUAUAUGAAAGUAAGACAGUAUAGAGCGAUAUUGAUAACACAAGCAGCAUAAAAAAGGUUGGAUAAAAACAAUUGUGCUCUCGAAUCUGAUUAAAAUUUGAAUAAGAAAUCGUUAAGUAUUUAUAAUGCAUUUUACUAGAUUAUUGCGAAUCUUAAAGAACGUUAUUUUAUAUUUGUUUGUAUCUAGUAUUGGUUUCUUUCUAGGCAUAUCAAUUUAUAGGGUAAUACCAAUUAGUAAGGAAUAUGAUAUAUUUAAAUUUAAUACAAAAAGUACUAUUGACAUAAAUAAUCCAAAAGAUAAUUUGGAAGAUGUAAAUAAAAUAGCUCCGCCAUCACUUAUUUUAUUUAAUUCUGACUGGGGUAUAAUAGUUUUUUGGAUUAUGCUAUUAAUUAUUUUUGUAUAUUGGACAUUCAUUUUAUGUGUAUUUACGAUACUUCUAUGUAAAAAAUUCUGUCCAGAUUUUAUAACGCCCAUCAUAGAAUAUUUGAAGAACAUACAUAUAAGAGACAUGUUGAGAAUCCGCGGGUCAUAGAUCAAAUGAAUAAGAAGAAUAAUGUUUGUAAUAUGAAAAAUUGACAUGUUGCACAUUAUAGUAAAUAUUAACUAAUUUGUGAUAAUGAUAAGAUCUUGUAAGUACGUUAUUAAGUUCUAAUCUCAAUUUCAAGUUCUUUUGACAAUAUGUGAACAAAUU